rnacentral:misc_RNA from 1 species
GAGCAAGGAAGCUCGUUUGCUGGAUAUUGGUUGAGUGAAAGGACCAUCCGGAAUGCAUGUUGGAUGUCCGGUGGUCUUCCCGGUGGCGAUGCGUCGUCCAGUCGCCUCAAAUGCAGCAAAUUUAUGGCUCUCAAAGCCAUGCGAUGCUGCUGGUUGUGCGACAGGAGACUGGCAGCUUGUUGCUGCUGCUGGCUAGUUCUGGU